rnacentral:rRNA from 1 species
GGGCCCGCACAAGCGGUGGAGCAUGUGGUUUAAUUCGAUGAUACGCGAGGAACCUUACCAGGGCUUAAAUGUAGUAUGACCGGCUUGGAAACAGGCCUUCUCUUCGGAGCAGAUUACAAGGUGCUGCAUGGUUGUCGUCAGCUCGUGCCGUGAGGUGUUAGGUUAAGUCCUGCAACGAGCGCAACCCCUAUUCUUAGUUGCCAGCGGUUCGGCCGGGGACUCUAAGAAGACUGCCAGCGCAAGCUGAGAGGAAGGUGGGGAUGACGUCAAAUCAUCACGGCCCUUACGUCCUGGGCUACACACGUGCUACAAUGGUAGAGACAGAGGGCAGCAAGUUCGCGAGGACAAGCAAAUCCCAUAAACCGUGGCUCAGUUCAGAUCGUAGGCUGCAACUCGCCUACGUGAAGGCGGAAUCGCUAGUAAUCG